CAGUCGCCACGGUAAUACGAAGGGGGCUAGCGUUGUUCGGAAUUACUGGGCGUAAAGCGCGCGCAGGCGGCUAUCCAAGUCAGUGGUGAAAGCCCGGAGCUCAACUCCGGAACUGCCAUUGAAACUGUUUAGCUUGAGGACGAGAGAGGUGAGUGGAAUUCCCAGUGUAGAGGUGAAAUUCGUAGAUAUUGGGAAGAACACCGGUGGCGAAGGCGGCUCACUGGCUCGUUUCUGACGCUCAGGCGCGACAGCAUGGGGAUCAAACAGGAUUAGAUACCCGAGUAGUCCCUGUCUCUUAUAC
rnacentral:rRNA from 1 species